CCUUUCCUUUCCUUUCCUUUCCUUUCCUUUCCUUUCCUUUCCUUUCCUUUCCUUUCCUUUCCUUUCCUUUCCUUUCCUUUCCUUUCCUUUCCUUUCCUUUCCUUUCCUUUCCUUUCCCUUCCUUUCCCUUCCUUUCCCCGUCCCCAUUUUCCCUCCCCAUCCAUCUCCUUCCUCCCCGGGCACUGACACUCUCCCCGCCCGUCCCGUCGCGGCCCGGCAGAGCACACGUACGGGGAGGUGAACCAGCUGGGUGGUGUCUUCGUGAACGGGCGCCCGCUGCCCAACGCCAUCCGCCUGCGGAUCGUGGAGCUGGCCCAGCUCGGCAUCCGCCCGUGCGACAUCAGCCGCCAGCUGCGGGUCUCGCACGGCUGCGUCAGCAAGAUCCUGGCCCGCUACAACGAGACCGGCUCCAUCCUGCCCGGAGCCAUCGGAGGCAGCAAGCCGCGUGUCACCACCCCCAACGUGGUCAAACACAUCCGCGACUACAAGCAGGGCGAUCCCGGCAUCUUCGCCUGGGAGAUCCGCGACCGGCUGCUGGCCGACGGCGUCUGCGACAAGUACAACGUGCCGUCGGUCAGCUCCAUCAGCAGGAUCCUGAGGAACAAAAUCGGCAGCCUCUCGCAGCCCGGCGGCCCUUACGACGGCGGCAAGCAGCCCCCCCCGCAGCCCGCCUUGCCCUACAACCCCCUUUACCAGUACCCGUACCCCGGCCCCAUGGCCCCGCCGGCAGCCAAGAUGAGCGCUCAUCCCGGGCCCGUCCCCGCGGCCCACGUCGGGCUGCCCCGCUCCUGGCCCUCGGCUCAUUCUGUCACCAACAUCCUGGGCAUCCGCACCUUCGUGGAGCAGACGGGAGCUUUGGGCGGUACGGAGGGCUCUGCCUACCCCCCCAAAAUGGAAGACUGGCCCGGCGUGAACAGGACUGCCUUCCCUUCCUCCCAGGCCGACAAAGCCGCGGUGGAAGGGGACAUCAAAUACCCGCAGGUAAGGGGCGGAGGGGCUGGGGCCGGGGGCAGCCGUCAGGGCUGCCACGCGGC
rnacentral:lncRNA from 1 species